AUUGAACGCUAGCGGCAGGCCUAACACAUGCAAGUCGAGCGAGCGGCGGACGGGGGAGUAAUGUAUGGGGACUGCCCGAUAGAGGGGGAUAACUACUGGAAACGGUAGCUAAUACCGCAUACUAUCGGAUAAUCCAGAUGGGAUUAGCUAGUAGGUGAGGUAAUGGCUAACAUAGGCGACGAUCCCUAGCGGGUCUGAGGGGAUGAUCAGCCACACUGGGACUGAGACACGGCCCAGACCCCAAGGGAGGCAGCAGUGGGGAAUAUUGCACAAUGGACGCAAGCCUGAUGCAGCCAUGCCGCGUGUAUGAAGAAGGCCCUAGGGUUGUAAAGUACUUUCAGUCGGGAGGCGUUACCUACAGAAGAAGCACCGGCUAACUCCGUGCCAGCAGCCGCGGUAUUC
rnacentral:rRNA from 1 species